rnacentral:rRNA from 1 species
CGUGUAGGCGGUUGGUCAAGUCUGGUGUGAAAGCCCGGGGCUUAACCCCGGAAGUGCAUUGGAAACUAGCCAGCUAGAGCGCGAGAGAGGAGGGUGGAAUUCCUGGUGUAGCGGUGAAAUGCGUAGAUAUCAGGGGGAACACCGGCGGCGAAGGCGGCCCUCUGGCUCGUUGCUGACGCUGAAACGCGGAAGCGUGGGGAGCAGACA